UUAAAUUGAAGAGUUUGAUCAUGGCUCAGAUUGAACGCUGGCGGCAGGCCUAACACAUGCAAGUCGAACGGUAACAGGAAACAGCUUGCUGUUUCGCUGACGAGUGGCGGACGGGUGAGUAAUGUCUG
rnacentral:rRNA from 2 species